rnacentral:rRNA from 1 species
UAAGACAGAGGGUGCGAACGUUGUUCGGUGUCACUGGGCUUAGAGGGUGCGUAGGCGGCCCGAUUAGUGGGAGGUGAAAGCUCCGGGCUCAACCCGGAAAUUGCCUUCCAAACGGUCGGGCUUGAGGGCUGGAGGGGGAAGCGGAACGUCAUGUGUAGCGGUGAUAUGCGUUGAUAUAUGACGGAACGCCGGCGGCGAAGGCGGCUUCCUGGCCAGCAUCUGACGCUGAGGCACGAAAGCGUGGGUAGCGAACGGGAUUAGAUACCCCGGUAGUCCACGCCGUAAACGAUGGGCACUAGGUAGUCGGGGCUCCGAUGCCCUGACGGCCGUAGCGUAAGCGAUAAGUGCCCCGCCUGGGGAGUACGGUCGCAAGGCUG